GGACCCUCAGCCGGGGCAGGUUUUUGAGGUAGAAGAGCUCAUUCAGGCUUGCUAUGUUGUUCUUCCUCAAGUAGAGCUCACUCAGAUUCUGGCACUGGUUCAGCGGCUCAAGGUCUGAGAUGCCAUUCAGGCUGAAUGUGAUCACCUCAACGUUGGGCAGAUCCCGGCAUAUUGAUAUAUCAGUGAGGUGGCUGCCCCAGCAGUUCAGCCGCCGGACCCCAUCGAGCGCGACGGCCUUGGCCCGCGCCAGCACGGCCGCCCGGCUCAGCCUCAUGGCCG
rnacentral:lncRNA from 1 species